GCUAGCUCGAAUAAAGACUCAUUUUGCUUUUGCAUCGGACUCGGCUGGCUCCCUGGUGGUCUUUUGGGGAUCCUGAAAUCUGGGCAUAACAACUGGGGGCUCGUCCGGGAUCCCAAGACCCUUGAGGGACCCCUGAUCCAGAGAGUCUGACUGGCCGCGUGCCCGAAGCGGUCUAGGUGGAUGCACUGCUGAAGGACCACGGGCGGGGAGAGUCGGAAGACGUUCUGCUCUUCAGGAGGGAUGUGUAUUCCCCCUCGAGGAUCUGAGACGAGGGCUCUCUCUCUCUGCCCCCUGCUGCUGCGUUGGUGAGUGUGGUGGACGGA